ACAAGGCCUUUUAUAGGUACAAAAGAUUCCAAAUACAUUGUAUGAACUUAAGAGACUAAUUAAUGACUUUUCCUAUAUACUAUGAAUAAUAGGAUACAAAGAACCAUUUGGAUACAUGAUUUAAAUAAAUGCAUGAAUAUUAAGUAAACUAAUUCAUGUGUCAAAUUUAAUUUUUUCCAUCAUUCAUGAAUCAAGUUUAAUUUCCAACACCCCUUCUUAAACUUGAUUCCCUCUUGAUAACUCGAAUCCAAGUACGCAAUCUUGCAAAAUCAUCAUUCUUCAAUGGUUUGGUGAAAAUGUCUGCUACUUGAUCAUUGG
rnacentral:lncRNA from 1 species